ACAUUGUGUCUCAAUCUCCAA
rnacentral:siRNA from 1 species